UACAGAGGUCUCGAGCGUUAAUCGGAGUCACUGGGCUUAAAGGGUGCGUAGGCGGAUCUGUAAGUGCUUUGUGAAAUCCCAUGGCUCAACCAUGGAAUUGCUCGGCAGACUGCAGAUCUUGAGGUCGGUAGGGGCUGCUGGAACUCUAGGUGGAGCGGUGAAAUGCGUAGAUAUCUAGAGGAACGCCGAAGGUGAAGACAGGCAGCUGGGCCGAUUCUGACGCUGAGGCACGAAAGCGUGGGGAGCAAACGGG
rnacentral:rRNA from 1 species